UACGUAGGGGGCAAGCGUUGUUCGGAUUCACUGGGCGUAAAGGGUGCGUAGGUGGUCGGGUAAGUCUGAUGUGAAAUCUCCGAGCUUAACUCGGAAAUGGCAUUGGAUACUAUUCGGCUAGAGGGUUGGAGGGGGGACUGGAAUACUUGGUGUAGCAGUGAAAUGCGUAGAUAUCAAGUGGAACACCAGUGGCGAAGGCGAGUCCCUGGACAACUCCUGACACUGAGGCACGAAAGCUAGGGGAGCAAACAGG
rnacentral:rRNA from 1 species